rnacentral:sRNA from 1 species
GAUUUUCCGCCGCACCCGCACGUCGGACUGGACAAAGGUUCCCUGCUCACGGCUCGAUGGCCACAAACCAAGGUUUCGCACGCGCUGACAUAGGUGGGUAAACAACAACAGGGAAAGCAAGCAAUCUGAGACAGUCGCAUCCAGGUUCCAAGGUUGCUGCCAUCCGUAUGAUUCAGCCACGUACAGAUGGACGAGAUAGCUCAUUCAUCAGCGGCCAUGCCCCGCCGGAGCCGCCUCCCAGAGACACUCACUAUACAUCAAAAAGCUGUCACGAUAAGUCUAUAUCUAUUUACCAUUUGUUCUCUCAGUAACCGCGAGACUUGAGAGUCGCUAUUUAUCUGACUCCCUUGUAUAGUAAACAUUUUAACUAAAGUUCUACCCACCAGCCUGCGCGUCGUUUGCUGUUUCAUGGAAGGCGAUAUAUAACGCUGCACAAAGAAUUAACCUGGCGGAUGGAUCCGUGGAUGCAUCAACAUAGUCGCAAACCCCGCACAGCAUACAUACAGC